AAUUGCGGAUGCAAUAUAUUAACAAUGGACCAGAUUAUUUGCAUGGUAAAGGUUGUAGCAUAAUUUCAGUCAAUAAUGAAACCACUGAAGCCAAGGUGGCAAUGACAUCUAAAUGGAAGUCCAUGGAAAGUGGUGCCAUUCGUUGCCCUCCUAAAGAUAUGGGAGGCUGUGGUAAAGGAACGUUACAUUUGAGAUGUAUAUUUUCUGAGAAUUGGAUAUCACAGCUGUUACUGAACGCAAAAGAAAUAGCACAAAAAUGUAAGCUGAAGGAAAUGCAUCAUGAUUCAGAACUGCACUGCUCCUGUUCAAAGUCUAAGGGUGAUAACGGUGUUUCUGGUGGCAAGCUACGUAAGGCAGCUGCUCGGGAAAAUUCUGAUGAUAACUAUGUAUUCUGUCCAGCAGCUGUGGAUACUCGGCGCGCAAAUUUGAGGCAUUUUCGGCUCUACUUAUCUAAGGGUGAACCAGUUGUUGUAACUAACGUUCAUGACAACGCAUUGGGAUUGAGCUGGGAGCCUAUGGUAAUGUGGUGUGCCUGUCGACAAACCGAGAAGGCUACUGAUGUUUUAAAUUGCUUAAAUUGGUGUAAGUUGGAAAUGAACAUACACCAGUUUUUUAAAGGAUACAUGGAAGGUCGCUCUGACAGUCAUGAGUGGCCUACACUCUUAAAGUUGAAUGACUGGCCGCCAUCAGGUCUAUUUGACGAGCGGCUGCCGCGUCAUGGUGCCGAAUUUUCUAGUUGUUUACCUUUUAUUGAAUAUACACAUCCUCAGUAUGGUUAUCUCAAUCUUUCUCUAAGACUUCCUGAUGGCUGUUGGAAGCCAGAUUUGGGGCCCAAGGCCUACAUUGCUUAUGGUUUUCCGAUGGAGCUUGGACGUGGAGACUCAGUCACCAAACUGCGCUAUGCUGUGACUGAUACGGUCAACGUGUUGAUGCACACUCAAGAUGUGCUCCCAACAGUUAAACAGCUCUCGGCCAUAGAGAACUUGAAACAGAUUCACAACGGGCAGGAUCAGAGGGAAUUUUUAGCUAAUGCUCACAGGAUGCAUGAGAGAAUUAAGGAUUGCAUCCCUUGUGUAAAUGGAAAAUGCUCACACAACUGUGAUGAUUUGAAAGUUGAGUAUAAGAAGUAUAGCCGAAGAAGUGUUAAACUUGAUUGUGAAACAAAUAAAGAGGGAGAAGAAUACCGAUACAGAGAAGAUAGUGUAUCUCUUAUUGUGCAGGAUAGGUGUGAAGGAUUUGAAGAGGCUGAUGGUGGUGCUCUGUGGGAUGUCUUUAGGAGGCAAGAUGUUCCUAAAUUGGAGGAAUAUCUCAGGAAGCACUUCAGGGAAUUUAGGCACAUAUAUGGCUCACCGUUGCCGCUGGUAAAGAUAAGUGGGCAUCUUUCAUUUCUCAAUUUUGAAAUUUCUACAGUAAUUUUAUUAUCUUUAUUCAUGUGUUUCCUCCCCCAUAAUUUUAUGACCGUUGUCAUUCGGUGUUGCUGUCUCUUAGCUUGUCACAUAUUCAUAGGGUGAAUUAAAUUGAGUCUCUAUUUGUCAUAAUCAUCUUUUACUGAAAAGGGAGUUGAAAGUUAAAUCUCGACCCUAUACUCAUCACUAAAGAUUAACUUUACUCCCUAAGUAAAGAUUUUUGAGACCUUUUCGUUUAGCUUUCUUAUUACAUGAAAAUGCUAACUCGUGACUACGGAUCUACUAGUGAACCAUUAACUGUGAGUCUGAUGUUUUGCUAUAUGGUGAUCGCCUGAUAUUUCUUCAUCUUGGUGAUUGACAUUGUAAUUGAUAUAAUGAUGUGAUGUUAGAUAUUGACAAUUCUCAUAAUAACCACUUUGAUGCUUAGAUAGAAAUGUAAUGUACGUUAUAGUUUGUACUUUUGCUAUGUUGAUAGAUGUUAGUUAUGGUUCAGAAAUCUACAUAUCUUAGCUAGCCAAAGUUACAGUAGAAAUUUGAUACUGCAUUAAACUCCAAUAUAUUUCCUAGUAUCCUCAUUGAUUAAUACAAAAUACAUUGAUUAAACUUUAAUAUAUUUUUUCCAUCGCAGGCUGUUCAUCCCAUUUUUGAUGAAACUUUUUACUUGAGCACUGAGCAUAAAAAGAGGCUAAAGGAAGAAUAUGGCAUUGAACCAUGGACUUUUGUUCAAAAAUUAGGUGAAGCUGUUUUUGUUCCUGCUGGAUGCCCUCAUCAAGUCAGAAAUUUAAAGUGCUGUAUCAACGUCGCUGUAGAUUUUGUUUCUCCUGAAAAUGUGACUGAGUGCAUCCGUUUCUUCGCAAGCUUCCCAGAAAUCAUGAUGCUAAGGAAGACAAGUUGGGGUGUUUGCGUGUGUAAAGAAUUCUAAAA